UACGUAGGUGACAAGCGUUGUCCGGAUUUACUGGGCGUAAAGCGCGCGCAGGCGGUCCUUUAAGUCUGAUGUGAAAGCCCACGGCUCAACCGUGGAGGGUCAUUGGAAACUGGAGGACUUGAGUACAGAAGAGGAAAGCGGAAUUCCACGUGUAGCGGUGAAAUGCGUAGAGAUGUGGAGGAACACCAGUGGCGAAGGCGGCUUUCUGGUCUGUAACUGACGCUGAGGCGCGAAAGCGUGGGGAGCAAACAGG
rnacentral:rRNA from 1 species